GUAGAUUCACUUGUUUAUAUUUAAGUCCGUAUGGGUCUCAUUAUGAGAUAAAUUUGUUUAUACUUAAGAUCCAUAUGAACUUUAAGAUUCAUACAGGACGCAACUGAUGAUUAACUCCACAGAAAGAAAGAUGAAAACUGAAGAUAAAAGAAAUAAGCAAGAGAAACGAUAAAGAAGAAGAGAACCCAACCUUUAAGGAUUAUUUAGCCCCUCCUACAGUGCUACAGUGAGAACCCAUCUGCUCAGAGCGGGUAGAUGAACGGAGGGUGCCAACAACGAGCAACGGAAACGCCACCGGAAGAAGGUCCAGGGGCUCUCCAAAUAAGCUUUGUUCCAGUUAAAGGACUGAACUUUUUUACAAGACAAAGAGAGAACCGACUAUCAGUCCAGAGCCCGCCAUCCAAUUGACUGAAUGGCUGAAAAAUAAAAUCUGGCUCACAGAUCGGGUUGUUCAACACGUGCUGGAAGCUGCAAUGCAUCAAGCAGCAUGGAUCCAAUCAAAUGGGACAAUCCCACUGCAGCAAAUAUUGGCUGAGUUUCCACGUUUGUUGGAAACACCAGGCCUGGUGAGGUUUUACCUCAUAUUAGGAUCAGUAAAACACUCAACUGCAAUACCAUGUUUAAAUGUACAAAUACAAUCAAACUCAAAAUAUCAGACCACCCAGAACAUAUGUGUACCAGAGAUGGAAGGUUGAAUUCAAUAGUUCUUCUCUCACUGAGCUGAACGUUUCAUUUAUUUGACUAUCGGAUUGUCAACAUGCUUUUGAGUGCAGUAAAGUACUCCUGAGCAAUGUGUCUGCUCUUGCUGCAUCUGUGUAUGCUGUGCCCGUUAAACUAGCAGUGGAUUUAAAAAUGGAUUUAAGAAAUUCAGGAAAAUUCAAAGUGAACAAUAGCCCAAGACAACACAACAAGAGGAUAAAGGGAAAAAAAAGCCCAUCUCCAGAGCUGAAGGGAGGAUUCAACGUGAUGAAAUUGAACUACGAAGUUCAAUUUUGUAGUACAGGCAACAGGCAGAUUCCUAUCUGCAGAAGAAACGAGUCAAAAAUCAGGGGUCUUAUGGUUGAAACUACACGGAGGCGGGACCUGUCUGACAAAACGAAUGCUGGACGCUGAAAAACAGGUCAAAUAGCUCACAGAUGACAACCAAAGAUUAAAAAUACAACUACACACGUCUCAGCAAAAAGUAAGCACAUUUAGAGAUGAAUCAGAGGCCCCACAAAUUUGAGUUUAAAAAGCUGUCAAAUCUCUUGAGAACUAGAGAGAACACAAUUAGCAAUCAAUUAGCAUUGAAUGCAAAACAAAAGCAAAGAGGAACUAAAGAGACAACGUAGAGUUGCACAAGAGACAGAACUGGAGGCGAAAAGAAAGAAAUUGCCAAAAUGAAGAAUCAUCAUUGAAGCGAAUAAAGCACGAAGAUGAAGAAAAUUUGAGCCUACGAAUGGAAGUCACGGGACUAAAAAAGGCUUCGAGUGAAACUGAGAGGAAGUUGUCAAAACAAAAAUUGAAAUACCAAAUCCUCCAGGAGAAAUUUUAAAAUGCUCAGACAGACAAAGCAAUCCUGCAGAAAGAAAAACAAUCACUGGAAAUUUCUACAAUGAAUCUUCAGAAAGAAGUUGUUGAAACACAGACACUCCUGCAGAAGUCCCAGCAAGAGAAUCAGUUUCUUAAGAGUCAACUGCAGCAGGUCAAGAGCUGGCUGACAGGAUUCAAAGCAGCAAGAAAAAUACGAGAAAAUUUGAAAAAGACAAUAUACAAAACUGAACAUGCAGAGAAGACGCUCUGACAAAAAACAGAAGAGCCACAGAAGCAAUUACUGUAUGGAGAGAAAAAUUGGAAUACUGGUUGAUUUAAUUUGCGAAACGGGUUUUUAAGAUUGCAGAACUGUCUAAGGAAGUUUUGAGACUGCAAGAGAAUGAGCAGAAAUUUAAAAUGCUUAAAGAAACAUAUUCUAAGGUGGAAAAGUUAUGGCUAGAUGAGAAAGGAGAUAUUAUAAUUGUCCCAGAUUACGACGCCAUAAAGGAUAAACUCAGAUGAGAACCACAGAUUGUCCACAAAACUGAAAGAGAAAGAAACAGAAAUUAAGGAUCUCAAGUUUGAGGUGGAGAAGCUCCAGCAUGUGGUCUCCAGUGAAAGAUACUCCGACGGUCGGAAGACGCAAUGCUAAGAUUGCUUCAGAGUCAGACCAAGGUUUGAGCUCUCAAGAAACAGAUACAAGUCCUGGAGACAGAAAAUGGUGUCUGUAGCCACGGUAAAAAUGCAAGAAAACAUCAAUAAGAUGAAAAAUGAGUUGGAAAAAUUUGCAAUUGCGGAGAAAAAUAAACUUUCGUCAGUUUGUCGUCAGUCAAAAAAUACCAAACCAAAAUCUGAGGAGGAGAGAACCCCCCAAACAUUGUUUAUCUGCUGCCUCUUCAAAUCACUUCAUUUGGAAAGGCAAAAUUAGUAACCAAAAGAUCGCAUCGGAUGCAAAACAAAAGCAAGUGGAUGCUUAGACAGGAGUUUAAGAGACAAAGCAGAGUUGAGGGAGAGGCUGAACUAGAGGCGAGAAGAAAUGAUCAAAAUAAAGAAACCACGAUGAAAUGAAUAAAACACAAAGAUGGAGAGAGUUUGAGUCUAAGAAAAGAAGCCAAGUUAAUAAACAAGGCUUUGGGUGAUUUUGAGAUCAACUUGUCAGAACAACAUUUGCAGUACCAAAUUUGCCAGGAGAAUUUUUAAAAUGCUCAGACAGACAAAGCAAUCCUGGAGGAAGAAAAACAAACACUGGAAAAUUCCACAACGAAACUUAAGACGUUGUUGACACACAGGGACACAUGCAAAUGUCCCAGCAAGGGAAUCGGUUUUAGAAAAAUCAAGUGCAGCAGAUCAAGCAAACUGACUGAGCAAAUUAAGGCGCGUUAUUCCUGAACCGAUGAGGGAUUCAGGAAAAUUCAGAGUGAACAAUAGCCUAAGACAAGCCAUCAACACAACAAGAGGAUAAAGAAAAAGAAAAGCCCAUUUCCAGAGCUGAAGAGAGAAUUCAACAUGAUGAAAUUGAACUACGAAGUCAACAGACAAAUUCCUAUCUGUAGAAGAAACGAGUCAAAGAUGACGGCUCUAAUAGUUGAAACUUCACGGAGGCAGGACCUGUCUGCAAAGUAGUAAGACUGAAGAUGUUCAGAGAAUGAGCGUUGGUUGCAGGAAAACAGUCAAAGUGCUUACGGACGAUGAAAGAUUCAAAGAGCAUACGCAUUUAAAAAUUCAUCGGAAGCUCAGAAAGUUCUACUUAAAACAAUGAUUACCAAUCCAAUAAGAAAGUCAUAAAUAAUCAGAGUGAAAAUGGCAGAGACACAACAAGACUAUCCACACAGCAAAAGGAAAAGCCAAGAGAAAAUUAUCUGUCCAAGGAGAGAGUUCAAUAUAAUGAAAUAGAUUUACAACUGCAGAACUUAUCCCUGCAGAAGGAAAUAAAACUGCUAGAGGGAAAAUAUUUUAAACUUUCUAACAAAUUUAAAGGGAUUUCGACCAAACUUCAGCAAAGUAUAACUAGAGUUUAGGAUCUAGAAGGUCAGUUAAAAAACUUGCAGGAAAGAAAUGUUUUAAUGACUGUAACUGUACAGAGGCGGGAUCUGUCUGACAAAACGAGUGUUGGAUGCUGAAAAGCAGGUCUAAGAGCUCACAGAUGAUGACCAAAGAUUGAAAAUACAACUAGACACGUCUCAGCAAAAAGUAAGCACAUUUAGAGAUGAAUCAUAAAUUUGAGUUUAAAAAUUUGUCAGAUCUCUUGAGAACUAGAGAGUACACAAUUAGCAAUCUUAAGAUCGCAUUGGAUGCAAAACAAAAGCAAAUCGAUGCUCACGAAGAGGAACUAAAGAGACAACGUAGAGUUGCACAAGAGACAGAACUGGAGGCGAAAAGAAAUCGCCAAAAUGAAGAAUCAUCAUUGAAGCGAAUAAAGCACAAAGAUGAAGAAAAUUUGAGCCUACGAAUGGAAGUCACGGGACUAAAAAAGGCUUUGAGUGAAACUGAGAGGAAGUUGUCAAAACAAGAUUUGAAAUACCAAAUCCUCCAGGAGAAAUUUUUAAAUGCUCAGACAGACAAAGCAAUCCUGCAGAAAGAAAAACAAUCACUGGAAAAUUCUACAGUGAAUCUUCAGAAAAAAGUUGUUGAAACAGACACUCCUGCAAAAGUUCCAGCAAGACAAUAAGUUUCUUAAGGAUCAAGUGAAAACUGGUCAAAGUGCUUACGGACGACAAAAAAGAUUCAAAGUGCACGCAAACACUUCUCAACAAAGAGCAUACGCAUUUGAAAAUCCAUCGGAAGCUCAGAAAGUUGAACUUAAACGGUCAGAUCUCUUGAGGAUUAGAGAGAACACGAUCAGUAACCUAAAGAUCCCAUUGGUUGCAAACAGAAGCCAGUGGACGCUCAGAGGAGACAACGUAGAGUUGAGGAGGAGGCUGAACUUGAGGCGAGAAGAAACCGUCUGUGAAAUGUUUCCAAACGAUCUGAGUUGCACACUUCAGCUUUCAAUAAAAGGUGGAUUAAAUUCAACAUAUGUUGUGAAAGCGCUUGAUGCAGCACAGAGUGUUGUCAGCCACUUUCGACAUUCAUCAGUUGCAGCCUGUGCUCUGAAGAAACGACAGGAACAACUGGGAAUUAAAUCCAAAAAAACUCCAGAUUGAUUGUCCAGUUUGUUGGAAAUCCUCUGUCAAUGCUCCAGCGGCUGUUUGAGCAGAGGAUUACAGCGCAGUCCGUCCUUGGUGAUGAAAACGUCACCGAGCCAAAUGUCCAGAAGACACUUGCCAUGACAGCAUCACAGUGGGAAGAAAUUGAACAGCUGAUUCCGGUACUUCAACCACUGAUAAAGGCUACUGAAGUGUGACGGAGUCUAUCCCAGUCAUUGCCUGCAUGUUAGCUCCUUGCAUUAAGCAUCUUCACUACAUCUGCAGAGGCCGCAGGCACCUGAGCCGUCCAGAGCAACAGCUGUCCAAGGUGAGGAGAUUGAAGAGAUUCCCCGAUCAUAGCAAGCUGGUGACCGGGAAAAAAAGCCAGGCUGGGAAGAAGAUUUUCUGCAACGUUUCGGGCCACAUUACCAGAGUGACAGGAGAUCAGCACACAGCACCACUCCUGCUGAAGAAAUCUAUGAUUGUUUUUUUUCCCCCGCUACAACAUUUCCCCACCAUGACUAACUCGCUGCAGUGGUAGGCCGGCAACCAGGACAGAUUUCUGCGUUUGGCAAAGCUCAGCAGAAAGUAUUUAGAUGUUCCGGCAACCAGCACUCCCAGCAAGAGGAUUUUCUAUCCUCUUGCUGGGAGUAACAAGAAAGCAGGCAAGCCUUCACCCUGCUCAUAUUGAUGCUCUUGUUGUCUUACACGUGAACCAAGAUCAAAAAUAAAAAACUAAGCGAGGAAA